UACGUAGGGUGCGAGCGUUAAUCGGAAUUACUGGGCGUAAAGCGUGCGUAGGCGGUUCGUUAAGUUCGUUGUGAAAGCCCCGGGCUCAACCUGGGAAUGGCAAUGGAAACUGGCGGGCUGGAGUAUGGCAGAGGGGGGUGGAAUUCCGCGUGUAGCAGUGAAAUGCGUAGAGAUGUGGAGGAACACCGAUGGCGAAGGCAGGUCUCUGGGCUGACACUGACGCUCAUGCACGAAAGCGUGGGGAGCAAACAGG
rnacentral:rRNA from 1 species